CUGGCUGGGAUAUGUGUUUCCUUGAACGGAACUGACCAUUGUACUGUGGAGGAAGAAAAACACUCAAUUACAUCAAUACUGAUUUAUAGAGCAACUACAGAUAAAUGGAAAAGCUAUUUACUAAGCAUUCAUUCAUAUAGUCAAUUCAUUUAAUAACCUUUUACUAAACAGCUAUAAUGUGCCAAACAUUGUUAUUUUAGGCUUUGUGAUAUCAGGCAUUGCAUUAAAAAUAUGUGUGUUAUUUAACCAUUGUGUAAAAAAAGUUGGGGGGGGUGGUUUGCGGAAAUAAGUCUAUACCACCAUGGAGCGUCUGUUCUAGUGGUAGAAAAGGGUAACAAACACAUGUAUCGUGUGUCAAGUGGUUCUAACUGGUAAGAACAAAAACAAAGCCCAAUACGGAGGACAAAGAGCAGCUGGGGCAAGGGAUUCUAGUUUAUGGUAGGGUGCCUCUCCAAUAAGGCAAUACUUAAGCAAAGAUGUGGAAAAAGUAAGCGAGUGAGCCAGAUAGAUUCCCUAGGAAAGUACAUUUCAGGUAAACAGAAAGAAGCCUUUGAGGAGAGAAAACACCAAGCAUGUUCAAGGAACAGCAGGCCACGAGUGCUGCGGCAGAGGGGGCCGCAGGGGGUGCCGAGGGGAGAGCAGCUAAGAUCACCGGCAGGACUGCGGUGGUGGGGAGGGGGCUGGAGAACACACAGCACCUGAUGGCCACAAUAAGGACUGUAGCUUACACUCUGAGUGAGACAGAAAGACACUGGCUCGUUCUGAGCAGAAGCGUGAUAAGAUUCCACAGGGUUUAACGGGCUCCCUCUGGACCAGGAUAGCUGACUGCAGGUUAUUACGAUCCACCAGGAGAGAGCCGACCAGCAGAAGAGCCACGGCAGUAAUGGUGGAGAUGGGAGAAAGGGUCAGAGUCUAGAUAGAUUUUGAAGAUAAUGCCUUCAAAAUAUGAUAAUGAACAGAAGAGUCCAGAAUGCCUGAGGUUUAGAACCUAAAAACUGGUAGAAAUAACUGGUAGAGUGGCCAUUCACUGAUUUUCAGAAUACUAUGAUGGGACCAUAGUAGACUCGGGGGUGGGAGGGGUGUGGGGAAGAUCAAAGUAAUAAUCUUGGAUCUGUCAAGUUUGAUGUCCAAAAAACUGGCAAGCAAAGAGAAUGCAUAGGCAGUCAGCUAUUCAAGCCUGUUGUCCUGCAUAGGCAAUCAGCUAUUCAAGCCUGCUGUCCUGUGGGGAAGUACGGAGGAGAAAUACGCAUCUGGGAAUCCUCGGCAGAUCCACGGCAUUCAGAAUCACCGGGCUUCAUGAGGUCCCCUGGGGAGCGGCUGCAAACAGAGAAAAAGGCAGUCCAUCUACUGUGCACUGGACCUUGAAGUCCAGAAGAUAAAGAGGCAAGAGGCAAAUGAGGCUGAGAAGAAGUGGCGGUGAGGCAGAAGGGAAAAGAGAAUGGUCACCAGCAAGUGAAGAAAGCAUUUCAGAAAAGAGGAGGGAAUCACGAACUGUCAAAUGGAGGAGGAGGAGAAUGGUGAACUGACCGGGAGUCUAGCAGUAUGGGCAUCACCAGGGUUCUUGACAAGAACGGUCCCAAAGGACUAGUGGAAGGGAAGGCCUCAUAACCUCAUUUCUUUUAUUUCCUUGAAAAUACGGAAGCACACGCUCCAACACCACACUGAUCAACUCUCUGCAGCUGCACCCCUCACGUACUGAGCUUCCCUACCGCUCCCACCGCUCCGCUGCCAGUACUCCCAUCUCAAGUCCCUGCACUUGUGCACUGCUCCCAUUAAAAAAAGAAAGAAAAAAAUUCUUCAAAGGGUUGUCUUUAUCCACUGCCUCUACUUCCUGUCUUCCUGUUUCCAACGGAAUACAUGCGUUUCCACUGUAAGACACUAGGUUAGCUAUGUGAAGAGAAGUACUAAGAUGCUGAGAAUUCCCCCUACAUUUGUAUUAAAAAUGUAAAACAAGCAAUAUAAAAAGCAACUGCCAAAUUUUCAAAAUACUGCCUACUUCUAAACUUUCCUCCAAUUGUUAUUUAUAAAUCUAUUGUUGGGAAAUUCAGUGCUCUUGUACUUGGCACAAAUUCAUUAUUUGAUGGUAAUUUAUUAUAAGAGACGGUAAUUUAAUGCUACAUUUCUCCAACUAAUGUGGUGACCUAAGGCAUUAUUUGUCAUCACUCCAUAUGUGUGAGAUAUAAAGUUGAUUAGGAGAUGUCAAAUUUCAUACUAUUAUUGACAAUGGUAUGGGCUAUAAUAUUGCCGUAAUAUAGAGUCUAUGCGCUGGGUUCUGGAGUCAGAAUGUCUGGUUUAGAAUCUUAGCUAAGUGGGACUUCCGUUUUGUCUCCAGGUCUCAGCUUCCCCAUCUAUAAAAUGGGGGUAAUAGUUUACCGACUUCACAGGUUAUUAUGAGGAAUAAGUUACUUUGUGUAAAGCAUACAGCACAGUGCUUGGAACAUACUAAAUACCCCUUAAAUGUUAGCAUUAUUGUAAUCAUUCUCAAUUUACAGUUCCACCGUCCACCCAGUUGCCUGGGGCAAAACCAUGCAAUUCACCAAUACUUCUUUCUCUUAUCUCUGCACUGAGCUGUCUCCCAACCAUGUCACCCAAUGUGUAAUUAUUUGCUAAUCUCCUAAAUAACUCUUUCCAAUUAAUAGCACUGUAUCUUGCCAACAAAUACUCAUAAUUUCUUGCCUAAUAUCCAUGGUCUCCCAGCUUCUAAUCUUGCCCCUAUGAAUCCAUCUACGCUACUGCCAUUUAAAGCCCUUUCUGAACUUUUUCAUUAUCCCUAAGAUGGUAUCUAGAACAAGCAUUCUUCGACCUUGGCAGUGUCUUCAAGUAUGUCUCUCGCUGCUCCCCUACACGCUUUCAACCCUUGGUAAGUGUGCUGCUGGAAUGCCGAUACAUACCACGCCUUUCACACCUCCCAUCUUUGCUCACUCCAUGGGUACCAUGCCAUUCCAGGCUACCACAUCUCUGACGUGACAGAACAUCUUCCUCACUUUUUUUCUACUGGCUAAGAAUAACCCUCUUGGAAAACUUCCUCAAACCCUGAGGCUCCUAAGGUACAAGGCAUAUAUCUUCUUUAUUUAUAAAUCAUGUUGUAUAAAAUUAUAUUUUUUUAUGUGUUUGCCCCUACUACUCAGUAAGCACCUUGAAGCUAAAGAAGACUCUCAGGUGUCUAACACAGUGCCUGGCACAUGCUGACUGUAGUAAACUAAAAUCAGAGACAAAUAAAUACAUAAGCUUCAGUGGUCUCAAAAUACUAACAGUAAUUGUCACUUAUUAUCACCUUAUAAUACUACCAUCGCUACAGGUAGCUUUAGAAAACCGUCAUCAGUGACACCUUCCCCAACUAACAAUAAGACUGUCCUAGGAUGACAGAAGUCUGAAAAACAGUGAGCUUUAACACCAAAAUUUUAUGUAACAAGAGAUAGCCUCUCAGAUAUAUAUAAACUGAGGAGUGCUAAAAAACCUGCCUACCAAAAACAACAACAAUCCUCACUGACCUUGAUUUGCCGCUAGAAAGCUCGAGUCAAAUACGCAGGACACCUCUAGUAAGGAAAUUUCUAACCCUGGCCCUCGCUCCUUCCAAUUUCCUCAUCCUACAUUUGCUCUACCAGCAAUUCCUCAUUUCCCCGUUGAAACACACAAACACACAUCUGUUUUUAUAUAUUGAUAAACAGAUAUUACAUAUUGUACCUUUAUAUAUAGAUAUUUAAAUGGCCUCUAAGCCUUUGUGAAGCCUUUGCAAGGAAUUUUUAAAAAAUACACCUAACUGGUCUAAUAUAGCACUUGAAAUUGUCAUUAACACUAAAACAUGUAUUCAUAAAAUAUUUACUGAGUUCCUAGCCAGUGUAAAACUGUGUGCUACAUAGGAUGGCUAUAGAGGUGAAAGACAGUGCCAGCUCUCAAGAUACUGUCUUCAGUGGGGAUACAAACAAGUAAAAAGGCAACUACCAGCCAGGAAACGGAAGUACACACACAGUCCUCUGACAGCACACAGGAGGAACAGUGCUGAGAGGUGGAAAAGCAAGGAAGAUGUCCCAGUAAAAAUGCAGCUAAGCUAACAACUAAAGAAUAUGCAGGAAUGAGCCAGGACGAGAGGGCUAAAUAUUUCAAGAAAAUGUUCUUCAAAAGACACCUGUUGAAAUAAACAUGUGUUCCUUGAGAGGUGACAUUAAUAGCUACACUCUAUGGGUAGGGUUGGGCCUAUGCCAGGGAUUUCACAUCCCGAAUGCAGAAGCAGAGUCACACACAGAGAACAGCAGCAGGGUACCACAGCGCUACAGAACUUCACUGUUAAAGCACCUACCAACAGGUUAUCUCAUUCACAAGGAUAAUUUCCCAAGGCCCCGACCUUGAAGAAUGAGUCUCAAGUAAUCUCUAGUAACAAGGAAGGUAGAGCAGCAUGUGACAUAGUCAAACAGAGGACUAGCAGGGGAAAAGUGGCAGUUCCGGCUAAUACUAAAAUAGCUGCAGGGUCCUAUUAAGUCAGGAACCCUAGUGUCUUCUCAACAAUUCCUACCUUCUAGCCCCUUUGUAUCUAGUUGUAAAGCAACAUGCUACUCUAAGAACAGCUGUUUAUUUUCCAGAAGGGUAUUCAUUUCCACCAGAUUUCAACUUAAAAAAAAAUCCUGCAAGAGUGCAAGCUACACUUAACACUUUUUUCUAAGAUACAGAACCCACUAGGGAAUGCCCUGUUUUCUGACAUGUGGGCCUUGCCAUCAUCCCCCUUAAGGUCACUUCGGGAUACUAGAUCUGACAACCGAAUAAUGCUUGAAAAUCCCCAAGCAUCUCUAACACGUAACUCUUUGAGGAUGAGUAGUGCAAGAGAGGGCAGUGCAGGAGCAUUCCUGGGCAAUCCUAACACUGCUGGAAAGGUUUCUAGAAGUUGUGCCUGUGCUACCUAGAAACUUCUGUUGCCAGCUAGAAUGUCGUAACUUCUAGAAUACACGUUGGUAAACUCUUAAAAGCCUAUCCUUUAUUUGCUUCAAGGAAAAGAUUUCAGCUCAGAGUCCCAUUAAAGCAGAAAAAACACACAAUAAUCAUUUAACUACAUGACAGACAGCACUGUAAGUAAAUGGCAAAGUAAAUGGGCCUCUGUCAUCACAUAUUCAGCCAUCUGCCUCCUGAGAAACAAGGGUGCUUACCUUCUUAUUAUCUUCUUGUUUCAAAUGGGGUACCUUGAUAUAAUAUAAACUAAAUUCCAAAACAGGGCAAAAAUAAGAAAAUAUUUGUCUUAAAGAGACAGCUCAGAACUAUAUAUUUUAAAAUAACGGAAUUUAGAUUUUAUACAAAAUGUGUGGAAAAAUGACAAAUUAUAGUCACUAAACAUAAAUUUCAUUAAAGACAUUAUCAAAUAUCAUAGAUGCAAAUAAAAACAACAAUAAAAACUUAUGGUUAGAGUAGUAUUAAAAAUAUAAGGCUGAAACCAGAUUACAUGAGUUGAGCGAGUCGGGAGCAGAGGACCAGCUUGCUGGCUGGUACUGGAAUACCACAGAGGCUCCACCACUCAUUAGCACAAAUGGGGCGGCCGCAUGACGCUGACCACAGAUAUUUAUUAGCCAGAUUUUAUAGUUAUAGAUAACUGGGGGCACUUAAACAGCUGUAACAGCACUAACUCCAAACAAGAAUCAACAGUAAAAUUACUUUGGGUAAGCGGCCUGAGUCUGCUGACUAGGAAGGGCUGGGUUUGCGGAUGGUGGGACCACUGCCUGGCUGAGAGAAGACAGCUGCUCCGGGGGAAGACUGUAGCUCUGGAGGUGGCUCAUCUGCGCGUUCCCUGCAACCAGGUAGGCACCACUUGGAGGAGGCCCUGCAUACACCUGCGAUGGUUAAAGAGAAAUCAUAUUCAAUUCUAAAAUUUUAAUAAGCAUACUGAACUUUCUCUGUAGAGGUAUUCAGUUACAAAAACAAGAAAAAUCACCACUCUGGAAUCCUUUUUUCAAAGUUAUUUCUGUCAACGGGCAUUUUGAAAAACGCUUUUCAAUGAAAUAGGCUGUUGAUGGUUUUCAUUUUUAGUUAAACAUAUGCUAAACUCAUGUUAUCUCCAUACUGAAGCAUUAAAGAAACUUAUCCUGAAACUUUAUACUAAUCUCCCUUUACAUUAAAUAUAUUUUAAUAUUCUGCAUGUUGGUAUUUUUUAAGGAAUCCCAAAGGAUAUUUAGAAAGUGUAUUUGAACUCAUUGUUUUGUAGCCAUAGACUGCAAUGGAUACAAGUCACAUUUCCUAAACUGCAGUUUAUUGAACAAUAGAGCAAGCUAACUUUCUAAAGCAGGGGUCAGCAAACUUUUUUGUAAAGGGCCU
rnacentral:lncRNA from 10 species